AUAGAAGGAGCCAGCUGGUGGCUGUAGAGGGACUCUCCUUCCCCUCUCAGCCUGUUCUCCGGAUGUUCUGACGGGAAGUACGGGCCUCUCACUGCCUUUCUGGUCCUGCUCUGAAACAGAGUGGGGGCUGCCUCUUCUGGGUCAGGGUUCCAGUUCAGACACCACUACUGCAGUUGCUCAUUAGCUGAGUGACUUUGGGCAGGUUGCUUAACCUCCCUGGGCACAGUAAUAGCCUCCAGCUCCUCAGAGGGUGUUUUUUUGUUUGUUUGUUUGUCUGUUUGCUUAGGUUUGGGGCUGUAUGAGAUGAGGCUGGGAGACAAGUAUACCCCAAACUCAUGAUCCUCCUGCCUCAGCCCCUUCCCUGAGUGCUGGGCUCACAGGACUACAUCACCAUGAUGGAUUCCUCCAGUGGACCGAUGAUUAAAUGAGUUAAUAUAUGCCAGAGGCUUAGGAAGUGAGGCUUGGCAAUUGGCCAGGGUCAGUAACAAAAGAGACUGAAGAGUCUGAGUCUCUUGUACCCUGGGUGCGAUUAUUUGCAUACAGUUAGUCAUGCAUGCACGUGUCUGUGUGUGUGUGUGUGUGUGUGUGUGUGUGUGUGAUUAUGAGUGUGUAAUCACAUACCCAGCUUUUACACCAACAUCUCAAAGGAAUGAAAUAACCGUGAUGGUGUGCUACACACUUAGAAACUAGAGACCCCCCAUCCCCACCUUUACAGCAACCACAUGGACCAGAAGUGAUCAUCUCCCUUUUGAGAAGGUAGGAACAGGGCCAAGCUUGACCACUUGAGUUCGAUUCCCAGAACCCACACGGUGGAUUAGAGAACUGAACGCUGACCUUCACACACUCUCAAAGGCAAACAAACACCUCUUCCCUAUACACACGGGUACAGAAAUAAAUAAAGUCAU
rnacentral:lncRNA from 1 species